UCCUUAGUGGUCCAGUGGCUAAGAGUCUGCAUUCCCAAUGCAGGUGACCUGGGUUCAAUCCCUGGUCAAGGAA
rnacentral:tRNA from 1 species